ensembl:snRNA U6 U6 spliceosomal RNA
GUGCUUGCUUCGGCAGCACAUAUACUAAAAUUGGAAGGAUACAGAAAAGAUUAGCAUGGCCCUGUGUGAGGAUAAUAUGCAAAUUCGUGAAACGUUCCAUGUUUUU